GACGAACGCUGGCGGCGUGCUUAACACAUGCAAGUCGAACGGAGAGGCCCUGCUUGCAGGGUGCUCGAGUGGCGAACGGGUGAGUAACACGUGGGUGAUCUGCCCCUUAUUUUGGGAUAAGCCUGGGAAACUGGGUCUAAUACUGGAUAGGACCAUGCUGUAGGUGGUGUGGUGGAAAGAUUAGUUUCGGUAAGGGAUGAGCUCGCGGCCUAUCAGCUUGUUGGUGGGGUAAUGGCCUACCAAGGCGUCGACGGGUAGCCGGCCUGAGAGGGUGGACGGCCACAUUGGGACUGAGAUACGGCCCAGACUCCUACGGGAGGCAGCAGUGGGGAAUAUUGCACAAUGGGCGCAAGCCUGAUGCAGCGACGCCGCGUGGGGGAUGACGGCCUUCGGGUUGUAAACUCCUUUCAGCCAUGACGAAGCCCUUGUGGUGACGGUAGUGGUAGAAGAAGCACCGGCUAACUACGUG
rnacentral:rRNA from 1 species